GUUCCUCGUGGGGGUUUUUCUUUCCCCCAUGGUCGCCCCAACCGAAGACAUUUGGAUCAUUUUACGUCGGGUUUUGUGGCCUUUGUGUUCCUUUUGGUUAGUUUGGUUUCUUUACAUGUUUGAUCUUUUGUCUAAAGCUCCAUAGGGUCUUCUCGUCUUAUGUAUUUAUGUCCGCUUCUGCACGGGCAGAUCAAUUUCAUUGACUAGGGGAGGGAGACAGUUAAACCCUCGUUAUGCCAUUCAUACAGGUCUCUAUUUAAAA
rnacentral:rRNA from 1 species